AUUAAGUGGAGUGUUUUCCUUUAUUAAGCUUCAACAGUUAACUGUCACGGGGAAGAGUGACUUUAAACUGAAGUAAAACAAGCAUCGGAAGAAGACAAACAUUACUAAUGGUGGACAUUCCAAUUGUGUGAUUACCCAGUAAAAUCAACCUUGGAUCAUUCAUGCUGAUACUACCGAGAAAGAGGAACACCUGAAAUAUCCGAAAUCACAGAUUCACGUAAUCCACGAGCUGUCAUUAUUAUUGAUCUGCACUGUGACUCCCAGAAUACGGACAGGUAGCCCUGGAGGAAUAUAAUGUAUUCGUAGGACGUCGCUUCGGAGAAGGUUACGUACACGUUCAGGAAGCUUGAACGAAGUAUAAAUGGCAGAGCCAACGCAUACGAGGAAGAAAAUUCGUCGAAAGUCGUGAAGAGUCGAAAGUUUCCGUAAAAGAGAACCGAAGAGGAGCGAACGUGUAUAACGAUCUGACUUAUUCAUCCAAAUGGAAUUCAUAAUAGAGCACACCUCGACAAAUUUGUACACCGCAUUCUCGUUGCCUAACGUUCUGUUUGAUUAAUGCCAGAAUGGGGGGUGAGGGAUAAGAAAAAGCUAUUUAUAAUAAUGAGGUCUAAUGAGAUUGCCUUGAAUUCGUUGUCUUGCCCGUCAGUGAGUAAGUAUAUACAUAUAGGUCCGAAAAACGAAAACGACCCGCGUGCAUAAUGAGGUAAUGGAAAAAACGUACUGUAUUAAAAAAAAAAAAAUUAUGAAAA